UACGUAGGGUGCAGGCGUUAAUCGGAAUUACUGGGCGUAAAGAGCGUGUAGGCGGUUCGGUAAGUCUGCCGUGAAAACCAGGGGCUCAACCCCGGGCGUGCGGUGGAUACUGCCGGGCUAGAGGGUGGUAGAGGCGAGUGGAAUUCCCGGUGUAGCGGUGAAAUGCGCAGAUAUCAGGAAGAACACCCGUGGCGAAGGCGGCUCUCUGGGACGGUACUGACGCUGAGACGCGAAAGCGUGGGGAGCGAACAGG
rnacentral:rRNA from 1 species